rnacentral:lncRNA from 1 species
GGGGGUGGUACUUAGAUAGGGUUUUCCUGCUUUGUGCUUCUAUGGUGUCUCUUGCUUUCUAGGCCAUUGGCAUCCACUGUGAAUGAUAAGCUGGAGUUGCAAGAGUGUCUGGAACACGGCAGAAUAGCCAAGUUCAGCAAAGUGAGGACCAUUACCACCAGGUCAAACUCCAUAAAGCAGGGCAAAGACCAGCAUUUCCCUGUCUUCAUGAAUGAGAAGGAAGACAUCCUCUGGUGCACUGAAAUGGAAAGGUAGCGUGCUGGGUGCUUGCGUCUGGCCAGGGCUGGGUUGGAAGGAAGACUCUGCGUCAGCUGCCACAUCCUCAUUUCCCCCAAAUUCCUUGUGAGUGAAUUUUAACAAACCUUUCCCAGCAUGCCAGGCUCCUGGAGAGGACCUGU